CCUGAGAAGGGGAAGACUCUGAAUCUCCCAUCCUGCCGCCUCCAGCACAGGGAACCCACACAGGCAGGGAGGUCUCCAUAUAGCGUGUGUACCACGGGCCACGCCUCCUCUCCUUCCGGCCCUUGACUUCAUGAAAUUGGUCUGCUGACCGCUCAAGACUCCUAGGAUGUGAACACAAAGCCGCUUCAGUCUCUUGGGAGGCAGGGUAGGGGACUGAGGCCAUUACAGCAGCUCUGCAAACAGGAGGAGAGUUAAUAUGAUGCAUGAAAUAGGAUUUUCAAGUCUGCAGCAAGAUACAGAUUAGGUCAAGAGAGCAACACCUUCCUCAGGAGACCCAGCGAGGUGAGACAGUCUGGGAGCCAAGCCUAUCACAGGGACCCCGCGUGGUGGAGAAAGCCUGCCCACAUUCCCCUAGACACCCUCUUGGACUGCCAACCUCUGAAUCCCUUCUUAGCCACUUGGCUUACCUUCCCCCAGCUUCAGUCUUAUCGUCUGUAAAAUGGGAUAUAAUGGUACCUACCUCACCUGGUUGUCACGACAAUGAAGUGAGACAAUGAACAGAACACACCCAGCCCACAGCCCAGCAUGUGGCAGGAACUUGGUGGGUGUUAGUUGGACUGUUUUCCGGGAAAGUCAUGUGCUGGAUGAACAGAUAAGUCCCCCCUCCCCCUUAGACCUGCCUCUCCAACUGGUCACCACUGGCCAUGUGUGGCUAUUUAAUGUUAACUUAAAAUUAAAUGAGAUUAAAAAUGCAGUUCUCGAUUGCGUGAGCCACAUGGCAAGUGCUCAAGAGCCUCGCGUGGCCAGUGGCCACCAUACUGGAUGGUGCAGAUGGAGAAUAUCAUCCUCCAUCAUCGCAGAAUGUUCAACAGGACAGCAUUGCCUUAGGUCAGCGAGCAGAGGCAGGUCCCUAAAAGGAACAGAAAUAAAUAGGGAGGGCAGGUUUUGAUGGGGUGAAGUUUGGGGGCAUCACUUGGGUGGGAACCAGCUGUGGGGCGACAGGAGGGGAUCUGAGAACACACAGCCCUUCCCAGCCCACCUGUGAGAAUCCAGGACGCUGGCUUCAUCCUCCACCCUCCCCAGACAGUCCACGGAUGAGGCAGUCAGUGGAGUCACUUAUGAGCCAGGGGACAUGUUGGAUGCCUUCCCUGGCCCCGGGGAGACCUCGGAGGUGGCGCCUUGAAUUUCCUUGGCAGUACAGCGAGAACAGGCAGUCACGCUGAGUCCUCAUUUGUCCUCCCUAAGUGCUAAGUGAUCCGUGAUACACUGAGGCCCCGACUGUUUCUGAAGGGCUCUUUUAAGAGAUCGCCAAUAAAGUUCUAAAAGGAUCGUGCCUGUUUGGGGGAAGAUAAUGCCAGAGUGGUGCCAGGAGUUUGUCAGAAGAGAUUCCAGCCAGACUCUCUCAGCCAGGCCAUUUGUGCAUCGUAAUUCUCACCAGGCUCCCAAGUUAACCAGGCUGCCAGAUGCAGAUUUUGCUGGGCAGAGCGGCCCAGACCCCCUGGGAUAUACUUCUCAGUGGACUCCAGCCUGAGAGCCAGCUGACAGCAUCCGCACUUCCCGCCUGCCUGGAGGCUUUCCUUGAAGCGGCUCACAGCUGGGCAUGAUCGCCUCCUGAGGGCCACCCUCACCCAGUGACUGCCAGAGCUUCCCCUGUCCUCUCAGGAACACUGUGACCUGACCUCCCUGGACAGCAGCAAGAACAAAGGAUUCUGGCACCAAGAAGUGUGCAACGACCAGCCACACCCACUCUCCUUUUAGCAUAAAAGAAGCCUGAAUUCUAACUUGGGUAAAAUGGUUCUUUGGGACACUAGUCCAUCAUCUUCUUGGUCUGCUGGUUUUCUGUAUAAAGUUGCUAUUCCU